rnacentral:rRNA from 1 species
AGUGAACGCUGGCGGCGUGCCUAAUACAUGCAAGUCGAAGGAAGUGGCGCACGGGUGAUUACUAUAUAGCUAAUCUGCCCCUUGCUGAAGUACAACAGUUAGAAAUGACUGCUAAUACUCCAUAGCAAGGGAUGAGACUAUAUCGUAUCAGCUAGUCGGUAUGGUAACGGCCUACCGAGGCUAUGACGAGUAACUGGUCUGAGAGGUUGAACAGACACAGUGGAAGUGAAAGGCGGAGCAAACACCAGGGGGGGGGGGCAAUAAUGAGUAGUGUGGAAGGGGGGAAGCCCUGACGGUGCAACAUCUAGUGGAGGAUGAAAGAUUUCGGGGCGUAGACUGCUUGUGGUAGAGUGGCGGUAGCUAACGAAUAAGCACCGGGUGACGCCGUGCCAGCAGCCGCGGUAAUAC